GACGAACGCUGACGGCGUGCUUAACACAUGCAAGUCGAAGGGAGUGGCGAACGGGUGAGUAACACGUGAGUAACCUGCCAUUUUCUUUGGGUAAAGCCUGGGAACCUGGGUUUAAUACUGGAUUGAUUGGGAUGGGCUCGCGGCUUAUCAGCUUGUUGGUGGGGUGAUGGCUUACCAUGGCUUUGACGGGUAGCCGGCCGGAGAGGGUGGUCGGUCACACUGGGACUGCGAUACGUCCCAGACUCCUACGUGAGGCAGCAGUGGGGGAUAUUGCACAAUGGACGAAAGUCUGAUGCAGCGACGUCGUGUGGGGGAUGAAGGCCUUCGGGUUGUAAACUCCUUUCGCCCGCGGAAUGGUAGUGGGUAAAGAAGCGCCGGCUAACUACGUGCCAGCAGCCGCGGUAAUAC
rnacentral:rRNA from 1 species